rnacentral:rRNA from 1 species
UACGUAGGGAGCAAGCGUUGUCCGGAUUUAUUGGGCGUAAAGAGCUCGUAGGCGGUUUGUCGCGUCUGCCGUGAAAGCCCGGGGCUCAGCCCCGGGAGGCGGAUGGAUACUGCAAGGCUCGAGUACGGAAGAGGCGAGUGGAAUUCCCGGUGUAGCGGUGAAAUGCGCAGAUAUCGGGAGGAACACCAAUGGCGAAGGCAGCUCGCUGGGACGUUACUGACGCUGAGACGCGAAAGCGUGGGGAGCAAACAGG